rnacentral:lncRNA from 1 species
GGGGUUAUUGGCAGGGGUGGGGCUGAGACACAUGAAUCAAUGUUGCAGCUGGAGGAAGCUAGGCACCUUCAGCAUCCCUGACAGAGGCACAUGCUCACAGGCCUGCCACCCUCCCAUCAGGCCACAGGACAGCCAAGGGGUGCUGGCACCUCAGGAAUCCCAACCAGGCUUCCUGAGUGGUCAGCCGCAGGUGGAGGGGCAGGUUGACAACCUGCUUUUGCACCUGUGGCCGAUAGUGACUUCCAUGACAGUGAUCUCAACGGAAUGCAGCACUAACUCUCUUUCCAUGGAAUCAUCUAAGCAUGUUUUAUAUUUUAAAAGGAAAAGAAGCCAGGCGCAGUGGCUCACUCCUGUAAUCCCAGCACUUUGGGAGGCCCAGGUGGGAGAUCCUUUGAAGCAAAGAGUUCAAGCCCUCCUUUGGCUCCAUUGCCUUCCUACCCAACCCGACGUCCAAGGUCUUUAA